rnacentral:rRNA from 2 species
AGCUCCAAUAGCGUAUAUUAAAGUUGUUGCAGUUAAAAAGCUCGUAGUUGGAUUUCUGGUGCAUUCCACUGGCCUAUUGGUUAACUCCAACUUGGCUCAUUUGGAAUACGCCAUCUUUAGGCAGACCCGUCGUGGCAUUAGGUUGUCGUGAUGGUUACGCCUAUCGUUUACUGUGAAGAAAUUAGGGUGUUCAAAGCAGGCUUAUGCCAUGAAUACGUUAGCAUGGAAUAAUGAGAUAGGAUUUCGGUACUAUUUUGUUGGUUUGUGUACGGAAAUAAUGAUUAACAGGAACAGUGUUGUGGGUAUUCGUAUUUCGUUGUCAGAGGUGAAAUUCUUGGAUUUACGAAAGACGAACGACUGCGAAAGCAUUUACCAAGGAUGUUUUCAUUA